rnacentral:rRNA from 1 species
UACGGAGGAUCCAAGCGUUAUCCGGAUUUAUUGGGUUUAAAGGGUGCGUAGGUGGCUUUUUAAGUCAGGGGUGAAAGACGGUAGCUUAACUAUCGCAGUGCCUUUGAUACUGAAGAUGCUUGAAUUGAACUAGAGGUAGGCGGAAUGUGACAAGUAGCGGUAGAAAUGCAUAGAUAUGUCACAGAACACCAAUUGCGAAGGCAGCUUACUAUGGUUUUAUUGACACUGAGGCACGAAAGCGUGGGGAUCAAACAGG